UCUCUCUCUCUGUCUCUCCCCCCUCCCUCCCUCCCUCCCCUCCUCCCUCCUUUCCUCCUUUUCUAUCUGUCACAUUCUAUUCCUCACAAUCCCGUGUCAGCUAACCCUGUCAGUUUCCUUGUGUCAGUUUCUUCUCUUACUGGUACUGUGUGGUUGGCUGCGUGAAAGGAAUACGUGUGUUUCAAAGGGCCCAGGUUGGCUCAGAGAGCCGAGAGAAGCGAUGGAGAGGUAAAGAGUUUCUGGGCACUGACGAAGGCGGAAGGUGAGGAAGGCCAACCAGCCGAGAGGGAAGUUUGGAGAUAAUUGAGAAGAGAAGGGAGAAACCAAGGUAGGAACCAGCACUUGCGCCCCUCACUGCACCCCGCCCUUCCCUGUGUUCACGCACCCACCAUCUCAGCAACCUCAAAGCCCCUGGCUGUCCCAGGCUGCUAGUGUUUGUGCGCCAGGGGAGAAGGGACCAGAAAGGCCGCCGCACCGCGCGCCCUGGCUCAGGGACACCAGACGUCGCAGAUCUGAACAAAACGACUUGGCCAGGGGUCUUUGGAGAAGUCACAUUACCUCUCUGAACUUGGAGAAAACAGUGUUUGGAAAGCUGUCCCUCCUCUCUCACAAAGACACUGCAUAAAGAGCAGAACAGGAACAAAAGAAGGUCGAAGGUACAAACUUCCAGUUAUAAACCAAUGAGCUUCAUAAUUCCUCGUUCAUAGAAGGACCUGUCUUUAUCGGCGAAAAACUGAACAAGGUGCUGAUCUAUAGCUUCAUCUGCAAUGAACAUUAUACAACGCAAGGAGUUUUGAAGUGAGCGAAACAAGUGGAAGUCUCAUGGCACAAGAUCAGGCGAGU